rnacentral:rRNA from 1 species
GACAGAGGGUGCAACCGUUGUUCGGAAUUACUGGGCGUAAAGCGCAUGUAGGCGGCAACGCAAGUCGGGCGUGAAAUCCCACGGCUCAACCGUGGAAGUGCACUCGAAACUGCGUAGCUAGAGUCCUGGAGAGGAAGGUGGAAUGCUUGGUGUAGAGGUGAAAUUCGUAGAUAUCAAGCGGAACACCGGUGGCGAAGGCGGCCUUCUGGACAGUGACUGACGCUGAGAUGCGAAAGCGUGGGGAGCAAACAGG